ACCCAGGAGUUCGAGACCAGCCUGGGCAACAUGGAUCUCACUCUGUUGCCCAGGCUGGAGAGUAAUGCCAUGAUCUUGGCUCGAUGCAGCCUUGAUCUCUACAAAGGAAUUUUACCACAGUGAUUAAAGUUCGAGAUGCACAACAGAAAGUCCACAUCAACUGAUUUCAUUACACCUGUUACAUUUCAAUACACUCCAGGGAAAUGGUAGUCAUUAAUAUUAUAUACCAAAUAUCUCUGGUUGCUAUCCCUGGGGGUGCUUUGCACUGGCCUGUACCCUUUGAAGUUAGAUGUGACCAUGUGACUUUCUUGAGCCAAUGAAACAUGAAUAAAUCUGAUGUGUAUUAUUACAGA
rnacentral:lncRNA from 1 species